UCCCAGGAGGCACAGUGGUAAAGAAUCUGCCUGCAAUGCAGGAGACCCAGGUUCAAUCCCUGAGUUGGGAA
rnacentral:tRNA from 1 species